GAUCAUGGCUCAGGAUGAACGCUAGCGGCAGGCUUAACACAUGCAAGUCGAGGGGCAUCGGGAGUAGCAAUACUUGCCGGCGACCGGCGCAAGGGUGCGUAACGCGUGAGCAACAUGCCCGUAUCAGGGGGAUAAUCCAUGGAAACGUGGUCUAAUACCCCAUAGUAAUUAUGUAAGGCAUCUUAUAUAAUUUAAAGCUUUGGUGGAUACGGAUUGGCUCGCGUGACAUUAGCUGGGUGGUAAGGUAACGGCUUACCAUGGCUACGAUGUCUAGGGGUUCUGAGAGGAAGGUCCCCCACACUGGAACUGAGACACGGUCCAGACUCCUACGGGAGGCAGCAGUGAGGAAUAUUGGACAAUGGAUGGAAAUCUGAUCCAGCCAUGCCGCGUGCCAGGAAGACGGCCCUAUGGGUUGUAAACUGCUUUUGUAUGGGAGCAAUAAGGGCUACGUGUAGUCCGAUGAGAGUACCAUACGAAUAAGCACCGGCUAACUCCGUGCCAGCAGCCGC
rnacentral:rRNA from 1 species